UAUAUACUCCCUCCGUUCGGAAUUAUUUGUCACAAAAAUGGAUGUAUCUACAACUAAAAUACAUCUAGAUACAUCCAUUUCCGCGACAAGUAAUUCCGAACGGAGGGAGUAUGUG
rnacentral:pre_miRNA from 1 species